rnacentral:rRNA from 1 species
GCAUAUCAAUAAGCGGAGGAAAAGAAACCAACAGGGAUUGCCUCAGUAACGGCGAGUGAAGCGGCAAGAGCUCAAAUUUGAAAGCUGGCUCCUUCGGGGUCCGCAUUGUAAUUUGCAGAGGAUGCUUCGGGAGCGGCCCCCAUCUAAGUGCCCUGGAAGGGGCCGUCAUAGAGGGUGAGAAUCCCGUACGGGAUGGGGUGCCCGCGACCAUGUGAAGCUCCUUCGACGAGUCGAGUUGUUUGGGAAUGCAGCUCUAAAUGGGUGGUAAAUUUCAUCUAAAGCUAAAUAUUGGCCGGAGACCGAUAGCGCACAAGUAGAGUGAUCGAAAGAUGAAAAGCACUUUGAAAAGAGAGUUAAAAAGCACGUGAAAUUGUUGAAAGGGAAGCGCUUGCGACCAGACUCGCCCGCGGGGUUCAGCCGGUAUUCGUACCGGUGUACUUCCCCGUGGGCGGGCCAGCGUCGGUUUGGGCGGCCGGUCAAAGGCCCUCGGAAUGUAACGCCUCUCGGGGCGUCUUAUAGCCGAGGGUGCCAUGCGGCCAGCCCGGACCGAGGAACGCGCUUCGGCACGGACGCUGGCAUAAUGGUCGUAAGCGACCCGUCUUGAAACACGGACCAAGGAGUCUAACAUCUACGCGAGUGUUCGGGUGUCAAACCCGUGCGCGCAGUGAAAGCGAACGGAGGUGGGAACCCUUUGGGUGCACCAUCGACCGAUCCUGAUGUCUUCGGAUGGAUUUGAGUAAGAGCGUAGCUGUUGGGACCCGAAAGAUGGUGAACUAUGCCUGAAUAGGGCGAAGCCAGAGGAAACUCUGGUGGAGGCUCGCAGCGGUUCUGACGUGCAAAUCGAUCGUCAAAUUUGGGGUAUAGGGGCGAAAGACUAAUCGAACCAUCUAGUAGCUGGUUCCUGCCGAAG